UCCCUCUCUCUCCGCCUUUCAAAAAAAAUAAGUUUUCAUUUUGCAAGAUUCAGUCAUGUGGACCCCACCCAGCAACCGAAUCCAGUCCGGUCACUCCCCGAAGGCUCUCCCUCAGACACCAGGGAUGCACUGAGCUCCCGGCCUCUCGGCGCUGUAACAUUGGAUCUUGGGCUUUAGACGUGCGUGUGUGCGCAUGUGCGUGUGCGUGUGUGCGUGCGUGUGAGUGGUGGAGCGGAUCCUGUUCCUCUACAGCCGUCAGGAAAGGGAGGUGGGCCCAGAACCCAGGGGUGCGGCAGAGGAGGAGGAGCUGCCAGCAGGGGGCAGCAGAAGGCAGCAAGGGGCCUUAGACCAUGAUGCCCCGCUAGAGCCCCGCUUCCUGGCUUUCCCUUAGCCAGUGUAGACAAGGCUGCCAUCUCGCCCCUCCUCCCCAGUGCAGGGUCCCAGGAAAGCAGCGCUCCAGCUCGACUCAGCAAAGUGCAGCAGGACGUAGGCUUUCAGAAAGCAGGAAGGAGAGAGAGGAGCCGAUGACCUCAAACUACAAGGCACGGCAGAGCGGAGAGAGCAGCGCAGUGAGUAGUGGGUAUUCUCACGACCACAGCCUUAGCUGAGGCUCCCCUAAGUGCCGGGCUCUCCAAAUCUCCACCGGAAUGCCUCUGCAGUCUCUGCGGAGCUGGCCUCCCAGGUAGGGAGCACACGUGUCCCUCCAAUCUUGCACCGCUUGUAUGCCGAGCAUCUGGGCAUGUAUCCACAGUGCAGGGGGCACAGCUUACUGCUUGGCCAAGCACAUGGUCGUCCACUUCCAUCCACCGAGGUGUGACGGUGAACUAGAGAUGGAGCAGCGAUGGGGACCCCUGCACCUGCGCCCUUCGCAUGCUCGUAACGGGCACGCACACUCCCUAGGGUGAAGUGGGGGGCGCUGCUCCCACGUGGGGCUUACCCUAAGAGCAUGAACCCCAAUUAUGCCCUUAAGGAACAAGGAAGUGACACUCGGUGCCUACAAUGGAUUUUAAGUCAGAUCUUGGCUGGGAAAUGCAUUAUCUGGCCCCCACUGGCCCCUAUGUGUUACCUACUGCUCUGUAACUCAUCGUCCCAAGCAUUUGUUCUGUGGCUUGCGUGGGGGUUAGAAAGUUGGGAACGGCUCAGCAGGUGGUUCUGUCUUAGGUCUCCCAGCUAGGGCACCAUUCUCGAAAAGGCUCACAGCUCCAGCACGGGGCUGCUGGCGGGAGACCUAUCCCACGUGUGCAGCUGGCCCCCGGCUGCUUGUGUGUCCUCACAGAGGGACAGCUGGCUUCCCCCCGCCGCUUCGGGUGAUGCAAGGCAGGAAGUCACAAUGCCUCUCGUGAGCUAGCGCUGGAGUCAGCCAAGGACAGCUCACUGGCCCGCUUCCACCCGGCUCAGGCCAAGUCCGGUCACACCCUUUCCCUUACGUAUUGUCCACGGCUGCUCUCACACGCAACGGCGCGGCUGACUGAUGGCACCGGAGACCCUACGCCCUGCAAAAGCCAGAUUUUUUUUGAGAGGUGAAUAGACAGACAGACAGACAGACAGAGAUCCUUUCCACUGAUUUACUCUCCAAAUGCUAGAAAUGGCCAGGGCUGGGCUGAGGCUGAAGCUGGGAGCCAGGAACUCAAUCCAGGACUCCCACGUGGGUACCAGGGCCUGGCUGAUUACUUGAGCCAGCACCAGUCCCCCCCAAGGUGUGCUGCAGCAAGAAGCUGGAGUCAGAGGCCAGAGUAGAGAACCAGACCCAGGCGCGCCGGCGAGGGAUGUGAGCACCGUAGCGCCCAGUUACGCAACCCCUGUCCCUAACUCAAGGCUGUUUACUAUGCCAACUUUUCAUCCAGCCUUGGAGUGACCCCCUGCCCUUCCGCUGUCACCCACUACUGAGGAGUGGACCACUAGUCCAGCCCCACACAAACACACACAGAGACAGAUACUCACAGAGAGAGACACACACACACAGGCAGAGACAGACACACACACAGAGACAGACACACAGAGCACACACAGGCAGAGACAGAUACACACAGACACACAGACAUAUGCACACACAGAGACAUACACACACAGACACAGAGACAUACACACAUACACAGAGACAGAGACACACAGAGAGACACACACAGAGCCAUAGAUGCAAACACACACAGAGACACACAGACACAUGUCCCUCCUGGAGCCAGUCCCCCACCCACCUCAUAGCACUGCCUCUCUCCUGGGAGCUAUCUCUCCUGUGUGCCUAGGGUCCCUCCCAGGAGCAAGGAGGCGCCCAUGCCCAGAGCCCCUGCUGCUGGAGUCUGCUGACCACAUGGCUGCCACUGUCACUGGUCCCAGAGCCUCUGCCGUCCCCACCAGGCGCACCCUGCACGUGCUGCUCCCCCAGCCAGAAUGCUUUUCCACCAACUCUCCCAUCAGCUCUCAGGCCACACCUCACUCCUGCUCAGAGGCGGGCCAGUCCCCUGUGCCCUGGCCAGUCCCAGCCUCUCCUUCAGCUCUUGGAUGAGGGUUGACACCUGCCAGGCUGGAGGCUCUGUGGGGGCAGGGAGGGAUCAUCGCUGUCCCCUCAGUGCCUUGCAGAGCCUGGGGUGUAUUAAAAAUGGGCUCAAGGGGCCAGGGUUGGGCCGCAGCGGGUUAAGCCGCCGCCUGCAACACCAGCAUCCUAUAUCAGAGUGCCGGUUCGAGUCCCAGCUUCUCCAAUUCUGCUCCGGCUCCCUGCCAAUGCACCUGGGGAAGCAGUGGAGGAUGGCCCAAGUGCUUGGGUCCCUGCCACUCAUGUGGGAGACCCGGGCGGAGUUCCUGGCUCCUGGCUUUGGAACUCUCUACAAAGUAGACAGCUUCUGUCUCGCCCUCUUUCUCUCUCAAUCUGCCUUCCAAAUAAUUAAAUCUUUUUUUUUUUUAAUGCACUUUAAAAAGCUUUGUGAAAAGCAUGAGUGAACAAAUGAACUAGCCAAUCAACAGCUUCAUGGAGAUGCCGGCUGGAAGUUCAGGGCCACAGCUGGAAGCAAGAAAGCACAGCAGAAGCUGAGCCUGCCUGCUUUCAAACAACAGAGGUCGACUUUGCUCUCAGAGCUUGGGGGAUCCCAUUGGUCCUGCUUCUGGCCAGGGCGCAGCCUCACAGCAGGUGCACACGCAACAUGAGGGCACCCCGUGGCCAGACAGGAAGCCGGAGGGACUAGGCUCAGUCUGCUUUUUACAGCUGCUGGCUCUGCUCCCCAGGAACUAACUCAGGGUCCCAGGAGAGCUGGCUUUAUCCAUGACCACCACCCCCAGGAGGCUCCACCUCUUAAAGGGCCCACAGCCAUAUACAGUCAGACCCAAGCCUCCAACCUCUGAGGAGUAAACUACACCCUAGCAAGGCCUUGUGCAGCUCAGGGUGGGGGGUUCUGCAGGGGCUUGUCUGCAGAGAGGCUACAGGGAGAGAGGCAUCGCAUGCGCCACCUGGAACCUACAGCUGCCGGGCAGGUUGAGGGGGGGACCCCGAGGGCUGGGGGCUGAGUCCACCAGGACCCCUAGGGAGAUGCCAGAGUGCCAAGACCCCUCCUCCUCAGGAGGAAGGCCAGACAAAUCCUCUUAGGACAAAUCUCUCUGCUAGAGAUACGAUAUAAAUACAAUUUAUUUUUAACUUUUUUGUUAAGACGUAUAAGGCCCACAGAGAAAUAUUUAAAUAUAGAAAUUAUAACAAAGCAAACAUCUGUAUAAGCCCACACUGGUGAAGAAAAAGGGCAUUGUCACCACCCCAAAAAACCAUGCCCACCCCGCCCCUCUGCCCCCACGUCAUUAUUUGACUUCCAAUGCUGUCACUUAGUUUUGCCAGGGUUUGCACUUUAUCUGUGUAGAACCAUGCCAUAUUUCUUCUUCCAUGUCUCGUUUCUGUCCCUCAUUCACCUUGUUCAAUGCCCUGUGGGUCUCAACUUUUCACUGCUGUAGAGUACUCCGCUGUCUGCACCCCAGGCGUAGUCACCGUAGCCCUUGGCUACUGGGUUGUGUCCCUUUGGGGCACCGUACGGAAGGGUGCGGGAAUCCUGGUGAGCCCGUGUCUCGGUCCUCACCCGGGUGCAUGCCUUGGAUCUAGAACAUGGGGAUCUUCAUCUGAUACUCGGCAUCAGAUUACUUCCCAGCUGGGCUGCACCAGUGCCAAAGAAACUCUGUUGCUCCACAGCUUUGUCCAGACCAACUAUUUUCACAUUGUUUCAUUUCAGCCUUGCUGGUGGGAAUGGGGAACCAGCCACCUGCUGGUGCUUUGACCCUGUGUUUCCUCGGUAAGCAGGGCCAGUGAGCCACUUCUCAUACUUGCCAGGCUACUAUUUUUUGUAAAGUGCCUUCUCAGAUCAUUCCAUUGUCCCAUCAGCUGUCAUUUUCUUACUGAUUUAUGGGCAUUCUUUUUGCUUUGGCAGCCUUAUUGAGCUGUGGUUGACAUACAAAUAAAACCAGAAAAAUGCAUAUUUCAUGUAAAGUUAGUGAGUUUGAAUCACAAUCAAGAAAGAAACACAGGGUCAGUGCUGUGGCAUAGCAGGUGAAGCCGCCAACUGCAAUGCCAGCAUCCCAUAUGGGUGCUGGCUCGAGUCCCAGCUGCUCCUCUUCUGAUCCAGCUCUCUGCUGUGGCCUGGGAAAGCAGUGGAAGAUGGCUCAAGUCCUUGGACCCCUGCACCCACGUGGGAGACCCGGAGGAAGCUCCUGGCAGUCACUGUAGUGGGAAGUCCUGGCGUUUGCCAGUGCCUGCCCCCACACACUCAGGGUUUCAGAGGGAGCUCCCCUCUGCCCAGCUGCCCGCCCCUCGGAAAGACCAGGCUACCUUCCUUGAGACCUGCCCGCCUGCCCCCUCCACCAGGGAGCCAGCGUGCACCCAGCUCCUGCUGCUGGGAGCCCCAGAAGGUCCCUGGGGCUGCACCUCUGCCCGCAGUGAGUCCACCAUGCAAAGCCACUAAGCUCUCACUCCAUCCCCAGGGAGCCCCGAGUGUCCACUUCCAGGGAGACAGGUGCAGCGGGCAGCUCUCUGCCAGGGCUCACGACCUCCAUGCUCUUCCAGCAAAGUCUGUCGGGUCCGCCCUGCACUGCGGGCCCCCUAACGCUCUCUCCUAUACCCCCCGUUUCCAUCCCCCGAUCCUUGCUCUGUCCAAUGAGCCCUGGGCAUGCAGACACUGCCCAAGCACUAAGUGUAUGGAUUUCAACAUCUAACCUUCCCAACCACCACUAUGCUGACGCCCAGAGAGGCUGAGCCACUCACCCAGGGUCACGCAACUGCAGGAGUGGGGGAACCAGCAGCAGAGCCCCGGGCUCCCCAUCUACCUGCACCCUAAACCGCUUGAGUCUACACCAACUCAGAUGCAGCAACUUUGUUUUCUUCAUGAGGGGUUUUGCUUUCUGGUGCACGAACACACGCCAACGGGCGCCGGCCCCAUGUCACCGCCCAUGGGGAACACUCUGGGAUGUCCAGCUCUGCGGCAGCAGCCAGAGAGGCCGGCGGGUCCAAGGACAGACUCUCCCGGGCAGGGCGGUGGGGUCAGGGCCAGAACGUGGGUGCCAGCCGCCGCGCAGCCCUUCCAGGCCAAGCCUGGCUCUCUCUGUAAGUCAGAUCCUGGCCGCGCACGCACGUGUGGGUCACCCCCAGCAACGGAGACGGCCGGGGAAGGGACUGGAGGCCCCCUCCCCUGCUGUGGGCCCAGGCACCUGCUCCCAGCUUCUGAAGCAGUAAGGAUGGGAGACCCGGAUGGGGGAGGGGGGAGUCCUCGGUGUUCCCAGCACCCCUUGCAGCCGGGGAGUCCCGUGACUGAGUGUUGGCCAAUGGAAUGUGAGUGGAAGCCAGGAGGUUGCAGGCGCUCCUCUGGCUCUGGCUGGACACAGAGGCGGCCGGGGGCAGCCAGCUGACCUGCCAGCCUGUAGAGCCAGGGAGGAAAAAGCCGAGACCCUGACCAUGUGCUGUCCCCAUGCCGGAAGGCUCCUGUGGAACUCACGUGCGAAAGGAAGAAGGGUCCCAUUUUCUUCUUUUUUUUUUUUUUUUUUUUAAGGUUUAUUUUAUUGGGCCGGUGCUGUGGCCUUGCGGUGUUGCAAGCAGUCACUGCCUGCAGGGCCGGCGUCCCCUGUGGGUGUGGGCUUGAGUCCCGGCUGCUCCACUUCCCAUCCAGCUCCCUGCUGAUGCACCCGGGCCCCUGCACUCAGCCUGUUUCUGGCUCCUCUCCUCUCUGUAACACUGCCUUUCAAGUAAAUAAAUAAAUCUCUUUUUUUAAUGUUUUUACCAAAAAAUAUUUUAUUUAUUUGAAAGGCAGAGAGAGAGAAAGAGAGAGGUCUUCCAUCCGCUGGUUCACUCCCCAAAUGGCCACAAUGGCCAGGGCUGGGCCAGGUUGAAGCCAGGAGCCAGGAGUUUCAUCCAGGUCUCCCAUGUGGGUGCAGGGGCCCAAGCACCUGGGCCAUCUUCUGCUGCUUUCCCAGGCUCAUCAGCAGGGAGCUGGAUCAGAAGUGGAGCAGCCGGGACUCGAACUGGAACCCACAUGGGAUGCCGGCACUGCACGUAGCAGCUUAUCCUGCUAUAUCACAACAACACCAGACCCCAAAGUAAUUAAUUUUUAAAAUAAUAAUAGAGGCAGACGCUGUGGUACGGCAAGUUGGGCCCUUGCCUGUAGGCUGCAUCCCCCAUCAGAGGCUUGGUUUCAGCCCCAGCUGCUCCACUUCCAAUCCAGCUCCCUGCUAAUAUGCCUGGGAAGGUAGAGGAUGAUGGCCCAAGUCCUUGGGUUCCCACAACCCACAUGGGAGACCCAGAUGGAGUUUCUGGCUCCUGGCUUCUGUCUGGCCUGGCCCGAAGGUUUGCAGGCAUUUGGGUGAUGAACCAGUGGGUGGAAGGGCUCUCUCCUCUCUCUCUCUCUCUCUCCCCCCUCUCUCUCUGCCUUUCAAAUAAAACACCUUACAAAGAAGAAGCAGUGGUAAUAACUGCCCUUCCCACACCCAACGCCUGCACUUCCAGGGAGAGCUGUGGUCUCAGAGCAGUCAAGGGGGCUUCUAGUCUCAAACAGCAACCAGGGCCCCUCCACCUGCACCCCUCUGUACCCCCAAGUCAGUGGGCUCACCAGGAGCACUGGGCCACUGUGCCACAGCAAAGCCCCACCCUGGCCAGAUGACUUGGAAGGGGUAAUCGAGGAAGAUCCUGAGAGUCAGCUUAGCCAAUGUCCCCUGGCCAUAGGCUGCGCCCUUCCCGGAGCUUCUGCCCCCCUCCACACACACUCCUGUAAAUCAGGCAUCCAUUCCCACCCCCAUCUAGCAUGGCUCCCAAGAUCUGUCCAGAAGCAGGUGCACCCGCACCCGCCGUGCGGGGAGCAGACCACUGUGGGUUUUAGAAUCUCAGGAGAUCCUGGGAGGGACCGGCUGUGCUCUCCAUGUAUGCAGUCCCCAAAGGGAGCAAAGCCCACCUGCCUGGGACUCUUGGGCGUUCACAGGAGACUUCGGAAUCCUGCAGCCCGGACCUCAGUGGAGGAGAGGCCGCACCCAGGACGCCCACGAGAGGGCGCUCCAGGCCCGCCGGUGUCUCCCCAGGUGGCUCCGACUCGGAGAGCGUUAGAGCCCAGCCCGCCCAGGGAUGGGACGAACGGGAUGCAGGAAAGGGGCGUGCCCACGUUCGCAGCGCGCUGUCCCACUGCUGUAUUUCCUCCUCGUCGCCCAGGACCUGCUGCCAUUGGACGCAUCACCAAUCUGAGCCUGAGGUUCGAGUCUCAGCUGCUCCACUUCCGAUCCAGCUCCCUGCUAAUGCACCUGGGAAAGCAACGGAAGAUGGCCCAAGUGCUGGGGAGCCCCAGAUGGAGUUCCAGGCUCCUGGCUUCAAUCUGGCCCAGCUCUCUCAUGGGAUGUCAGCACCGUGGGCCACAGUGAGUCCAGCGACAGAGCCACACGGCGACCGCCAGCUGUCACCAGAGGCCAGUGUGAGUGACAGGGCCGAAGACAUGGGCUCAGAACAUGCUGCAAGGAACCCCGGUGAGCUCAGUCCCCUGCAGGACGGAAGCAGCACCAGUGUCCCUGCCAACCGCCCCCACGAGCCAGCAGCAGGUCAGGCCUUUGGGCUCCCUCGGCCUGACCCCUGGUGCCUGCUGCCUGGCCAACAGCACAGGCCACUGACCCCAGCCCUUGAAUCAGUUCGUUCCGGGCCACAAGGCAGCUGGGCUGUGCCAGACCCAAGCAGACGAGACAGCUCCAAGACGGCUCCUUUGUGACAGCCGGGCUCAGGGAAACCAGCCAAGACCUCGCACGUGACUGGAAGCGCGCGGCGUGGCGAACUUGGGGUGCAAUAGUCGUGGCAGAAGUGAAAUUCUGGGACCACAUUUGCAUCCUGUAUAAGAAACUUGAACAGAUUUAGCCAUGGCUCCGUGUGUAGAACUUUGUUUCCCACCAGUUGUAGAUCCGAAAUGUGUUUUUUAAAAUCACUCUUUGGAAGAGGGGGGAAAAAAAGUGAAUUAAAUUUAGUAAUGUGACAUUA